ACAGCGAUUCCCUCUCUUAUUGGCUAUUCGGCCCAAUCAGCGUUAUGAUUGGUUUUAGGGCUCGCAGCGGACCGGGAGAUUGGCCAAUCAGUGCUCCGCACAGUUGCCCACGUGACCAGAGGAGAGUGACACCAACAGUCUAGCAGAUCAGAACCUGGGCCACGAUCACUGCUCGGAGGAUCGAGCCUGCAGCACUCCCUGACCUGAGUUACCUACACCACUUAUUAAAUAUGAUAAGAGGCAAAUAUAAGAGAGGGAAGGGAAGUGCAGGUGGGGCUUGUGUCUUGAUACUGCUGAAGGAAUUUUUCAUCCAAGGAAUUAGAGCUACACUCCCCUUGGGUCAAAGGUGACCGCCUCUUAUUCCCCAGACGCUGUAUAGCCCCUUAUUGGUUUAGUGCUUCCUUAUGAAUGUAAUAAUUGAGUUGCUUUCCUCUUCCCCGGAUCAAACCCGUUUACCUCUAUAUCCACAAACACUGUUGCCAAUAUCAGCUUAGUGUUUACCCAUGAAUAUAUUAAAAUUAACAUGUAAUAAUAAUUAUGUAAUAAUCAUAACAAAAUGAUAAUAUGUAAUAAUAAUCAACAUGUAAUAAUCAUAAUAAUCAUGUAAUAAUCAUAAUAACAUGUAAUAAUCAUAAUAAUCAUGUAAUAAUCAUAAUCAAUGUAACUAUAAUAAUCAAGGUGACUAAUAAUCAGUAUGACAAUGACCCCUCAAGGGAAGUUCCUUUGUGCUGGUGAAGGGGCUCUUGAUUCAGGGAACUGGAUCUGUCUUCCAAUUCAUUGAAUCAGGUCUGAAUAUCUUCCAUGUUCCAAAAUGCUGCAUGACCUCUGCGGAUCUAGCGCUCUCAUGAAUGCAAUAAUAAUAUGUAGGCGUUGAUAAAAUGGGAGAUAAGAAUGUGAAAGAAAUGUGUAGACAGUAUUACUGAUGUGAAGGCAGUGUAGACAAUAUUACUGAUGUGAAGGCAGUGUAGACAAUA